ensembl:lncRNA
CCUGUUUCACUGAUCUGCUUCAAAAUCAACAAAUGACUGGCUGCCAAAGCCAGCGCUAUUCCCCCAUGACGGGAAGACUGGAGGCCAGCUCUACCGAGAGAGAGAGGGGGGAAUUUAAUCAAACACUAAGAAAGAAGAGUCUGAGGGGCGCUUGGAAGGGUGCACAAAGUCUUCAGAGACAAACUGUCGCUGUGAGAGGAGAGAAAAGGACAAGCCUGACCUCUGUUAGCACGGUUGAGCUUCACCUCAGAAUCUCUUCUCUUCAUGUGAGAGAUUAAUGCGAGUGGACAGGAGCGAACAGCUGAAUCACAUUUUCAAAGGCUGCAUCGCACGGCAGUGGGGUGAGAACCUCUGCUCUGGCCUCGUCUGGUCGCUGGACUGCGUUGGCUUUUAUCAGCACAAUCUGCUCCCGUGUCCCUCGUGAUGAGAAAGCACCUGGCCUCCAAUUGGGGACAAGCUGGCCAAACCAACCGAGGUUCACCGGACACCCAUAAGUCCAAUGUCGCCACCACUCGAAUACAAAAAAAAGCCUCAACUACAGACAUGUGACUGUUAAUCAUUACGAAGAUGAUUUCCGUGAAAGCGCUCGGAUUGAAUUUGCUCAUUUUAAUUGGAUGUAGGAAGGCAACUCACAUUUCUUAAACAAACAGUGGGAAUUGAGCUUUGCCAUUUUCCGAGUGCAAUGAGUCUUAUCAUAUCAACAAAUGGAAAGUGCAAUGAGGAGGAGCUGCAAAAUCAUUUACAUAUUCAUAGAGAAUUACUCAACCUCUGCUAUAAUGUUAUCUUGCUCUGAGAGUUAGUGUGAAAGCCCCAGAUUGAGAAACGUAAAAUUUCCGGACAAAAAAAAAAAGUCUUAAUUUGUGUAAACAAAUAAUAGUGACCCUAAAAGCACCAGUACCUGCUGCAAGCAUAAUGGAGCUUACAGUGAAGUUUCCUGCACUACAUUGUAAUUAGAUUCCAACCUUCCUGUUUUGGUGUCACACCGCCAAUUUAAACGAUUAACUGGCAAGGGAGCUUCUUCCACAUUGACCUUUAGACAAGGCUCUCACAAGUUUAAAUUUGUCAGCUAGCAAUGUUCUACAGUGGAUAUGGAUAUGCAUCAUUUUUUCUAAAUUUGUAAAAUUCUUUCCACCACAUCUCUGUAUUAAAUAUUAUUAUGAGGUGGAAAUGAUAUUUAAAAACAUUUUGGGAUAUAACUGUGCCUAGCAUUUAAAGAAUAUUACAUAUACAAAAUAAUAUUUAAUUAUAAUAAUAACAAUAGUUAACAUUUUAGAACAUUUACAGCUUGAUAAUAAUAUGUAAUAAUAUCAAAUAAUGUCUAAUAAUAAUGAUAUAUUUUUUUUUACAUUUUAAUAAUAAUAUUUAAACUUUUUUUUUUUUUUUUUUUUGCACAGUUUGACCAAAAUUACAGCUUGUUUGCAAAUGAUACACAAUACAAUUAUUCUGUUUACAAGGGAUUUUUAACCUUGAUCUUUCAUGUCACAUUUCAUCUCGGUUUGCUCUUCACUGAUGUUGCUGUCUCCUUGGUGUUUCUUUGUAACCAAGUAAAGAAACUAAAAAAAGUUGGUAUAAGUGGCUAAAUUGUUGGUUGCUGUGUAAAAUGUUGACAAAUAAAUGACAAUUUGGGAUUUGUGUAAAAAUUACA